rnacentral:rRNA from 1 species
CCUACGGGAGGCAGCAGUAAGGAAUAUUGGUCAAUGGGCGCAAGCCUGAACCAGCCAUGCCGCGUGCAGGAAGACGGCCCUAUGGGUUGUAAACUGCUUUUGAACAAGAGAAAACCUCGGUACGUGUACCGAGCUGAUAGUAUUGUUAGAAUAAGCAUCGGCUAACUUCGUGCCAGCAGCCGCGGUAAGACGAAGGAUGCAAGCGUUAUCCGGAUUCAUUGGGUUUAAAGGGUGCGUAGGCGGACCGAUAAGUCAGUGGUGAAAUCUCUCAGCUUAACUGAGAAACUGCCAUUGAUACUGUCAGUCUAGAGUAUAGAUGAUGUGGGCGGAAUAUGACAUGUAGUGGUGAAAUACUUAGAUAUGUCAUAGAACACCGAUUGCGAAGGCAGCUCACAAACUAUAACUGACGCUGAGGCACGAAAGUGCGGGGAUCAAACAGGAUUAGAUACCCUGGUAGUCCGCACCGUAAACGAUGAUUACUCGUUGUUGGCAAUAUGACCGUCNGCGACCGACGACGAACGACGAGUAAGUAAGUACCGACCCGUACGGGUAGGUACGGUACCGGCCGACCGGUACGGUAACGUACCGAAACGGAAAGUUAGGUUACGGACGUUGGAGGACGACGGCCGACGGACGGACGACGACGGGAGGGUUAGGGAG